rnacentral:rRNA from 1 species
UACGAAGGGGGCGAGCGUUGUUCGGAAUUACUGGGCGUAAAGGGCGCGUAGGCGGCCGAUCAAGUCAGAUGUGAAAGUCCUGGGCUUAACCUGGGGACUGCAUUUGAUACUGAUUGGCUUGAAUGCAGGAGAGGAUAGCGGAAUUCCCAGUGUAGAGGUGAAAUGCGUAGAUAUCAGGAGGAACACCGGUGGCGAAGGCGGGUCUCUGGGCCGAAAUUGACGCUGAGGAGCGAAAGCGUGGGGAGCAAACAGG